UGCAGAUCACAAAAACACAAUAUUUAGUGGUAAUACAGCUCAAGUUUAAAUGAAAGUUGGAAAAAGGAUCAUGCAGCUGACAUCAUUUCCUUGGAGGGAAAACAGCUGGGGAAGUAUUUACAAGGAAGAAGAUUACAAAGUGAGGUCCAGCUCACAAUCUGUGCAAACUUGGGAUGCCAGCGAUUUCAACACUGGCAAUUAUAGUCUUAUCUAUCUUCGGAGACAGUCCAGUUUCCAGGUCUUCAUCUUCAUCCACACCAGUGCAGACCCCCUCUUCUGAAGAACCAGCACAUACAUAAGAG